AUUUAGGUGAACCUGCGGAAGGAUCAUUACAAGUGAGGCUACCGAACGUUGGAAACAGCGGUUAGGAGCUUACACCCACCCGUGUUUACAUACUAUUGUUGCUUUGGCGGGCCGUGGCCUCCACUGCGGGCUCUGCUCGUGUGUGCCCGCCAGAGGACCAAACUCUGAAUGUUAGUGAUGUCUGAGUACUAUCUAAUAGUUAAAACUUUCAACAACGGAUCUCUUGGUUCUGGCAUCGAUGAAGAACGCAGCGAAAUGCGAUAAGUAAUGUGAAUUGCAGAAUUCAGUGAAUCAUCGAAUCUUUGAACGCACAUUGCGCCCUGUGGUAUUCCGCAGGGCAUGCCUGUUCGAGCGUCAUUUAACCACUCACGCCUAGCGUGGUAUUGGGGCACGCGGUCUCGCGGCCCUCAAAAUUAGUGGCGGCGCCGGUGGGCUCUAAGCGUAGUACAUACUCCCGCUAUAGAGUUCCCCCGGUGGCUCGCCAGAACCCCCAAUUUUUUACAGGUUGACCUCGGAUCAGGUAGGGAUACCCGCUGAACUUAAGCAUAUCAAUAAGCGGAGGA
rnacentral:rRNA from 1 species